rnacentral:rRNA from 1 species
GACGAACGCUGGCGGCGUGCUUAACACAUGCAAGUCGAACGGAAAGGCCCUGCUUUUGUGGGGUGCUCGAGUGGCGAACGGGUGAGUAACACGUGAGUAACCUGCCCAUGACUUUGGGAUAACUUCAGGAAACUGGGGCUAAUACCGGAUAGGAGCUCCUGCUGCAUGGUGGGGGUUGGAAAGUUUCGGCGGUUGGGGAUGGACUCGCGGCUUAUCAGCUGGUUGGUGGGGUAGUGGCUUACCAAGGCUUUGACGGGUAGCCGGCCUGAGAGGGUGACCGGCCACAUUGGGACGGAGAUGCGGCGCAGACUCCUACGGGAGGCAGCAGUGGGGAAUAUUGCACAAUGGGCGGAAGCCUGAUGCAGCAACGCCGCGUGCGGGAUGACGGCCUUCGGGUUGUAAACCGCUUUCGCCUGUGACGAAGCGUGAGUGACGGUAAUGGGUAAAGAAGCACCGGCUAACUACGUG